CACUAACUGGAGGACCGAACCGACUAAUGUUGAAAAAUUAGCGGAUGACUUGUGGCUGGGGGUGAAAGGCCAAUCAAACCGGGAGAUAGCUGGUUCUCCCCGAAAGCUAUUUAGGUAGCGCCUCGUGAAUUCAUCUCCGGGGGUAGAGCACUGUUUCGGCAAGGGGGUCAUCCCGACUUACCAACCCGAUGCAAACUGCGAAUACCGGAGAAUGUUAUCACGGGAGACACACGGCGGGUGCUAACGUCCGUCGUGAAGAGGGAAACAACCCAGACCGCCAGCUAAGGUCCCAAAGUCAUGGUUAAGUGGGAAACGAUGUGGGAAGGCCCAGACAGCCAGGAUGUUGGCUUAGAAGCAGCCAUCAUUUAAAGAAAGCGUAAUAGCUCACUGGUCGAGUCGGCCUGCGCG
rnacentral:rRNA from 1 species